rnacentral:tRNA from 1 species
AAAGACUUAGGUUAUAUGACCGAGAGCCUUCAAAGCUCUAAGUAAGGGUGAAAGCCCCUUAGUCUUUG